UACAGAGGCCCCAAGCGUUACUGAGAAUCACUGGGUUUAAAGGGUGCGUAGGUGGUCCGUUAAGUCAGUUGUGAAAUCCCCGGGCUCAACCCGGGAACUGCUUCUGAUACUGGCGGACUUGAGGCCAGUAGGGGUCACUAGAACAGACGGUGGAGCGGUGAAAUGCGUAGAUAUCGUCUGGAAUGCCUGUGGUGAAGACGGGUGACUGGGCUGGUUCUGACACUGAGGCACGAAAGCGUGGGGAGCGAACGGG
rnacentral:rRNA from 1 species